GACGAACGCUGGCGGCGUGCUUAACACAUGCAAGUCGAACGGAAAGGCCCUGCUUUUGUGGGUUGCUCGAGUGGCGAACGGGUGAGUAACACGUGAGUAACCUGCCCUUGACUUUGGGAUAACUUCAGGAAACUGGGGCUCAUACCGGAUAGGAGCUCCUGCUGCAUGGUGGGGGUUGGAAAGUUUCGGCGGUUGGGGAUGGACUCGCGGCUUAUCCGCUUGUUGGUGAGGUAGUGGCUUACCAAGGCUUUGACGGGUAGCCGGCCUGAGAGGGUGACCGGCGACAAGGGGACUGAGAUACGGAGCAGAAGGCUACGGGAGGCAGCAGGGGGGAAUAUUGCAGAAUGGGGGGAAGCGAGAGGCGGCAACGCCGCGUGCGGGAUGACGGGCUUCGGGUGGUAAACCACUGUCGCCUGUGACGAAGCGUGAGUGACGGUAAUGGGUAAAGAAGCACCGGCUAACUACGUG
rnacentral:rRNA from 1 species